UUCCCCCUAAAGCAACAUCCCAGCUCUCACAGUUUUACAUCUCUGAGGACGAUAUGACGAGGUCUUCACCUCUGAUGUCCACAUCAAGUGAGAGCAGCAUGGAGGAAUAUGCUGAGGCUAUGGUUGUCCAAGAGCAAAAGCCACCAGCAGAACCACAGUAUGACGUCAUAACCAUUGAUCUGACCUGCCAAUGCAGAUUGUCAUUCAGACCUUUACGGCAUCUGUUUAAUGGGAUCAGGUCCGGGUGUAGGAGAGCUGCUAAAAGAAUAAGAAGAGCUCUCCACCUCACCCGCAACUGAAGGAAGACACCAGCAUGAAGUAGGAGAGUCCAAGACAUUGGAACAUCUGAAUGUGGCACCAGUGACGGCUGACAUGCUCGAUGCUCCACCCUAUAUAUAAAUCCUUAUGAUCAGCCGCCUGCUGCCAGGGGACUCUCUGAAGCCAUACCUCACCUAUAUAAAGGCACGAGGUAACUCUCCAACAUGAAUGAAGAAUUCCAGACUGAGGGAUUAAUGCUAUUUUGGAUCAGGAUUGCAGCUCGUACAGCUCUCCCUUGGAUCUUCAUGUUCUGGAGAUUAUCUCCUCC